rnacentral:rRNA from 1 species
AGAUAGAGUCUUCCCCUUCGGGGGACAAAGUGACAGGUGGUGCAUGGUUGUCGUCAGCUCGUGUCGCGAGAUGUUGGGUUAAGUCCCGUAACGAGCGCAACCCUUAAGCUUAGUUGCCAGCAUUAAGUUGGGCACUCUAAGUUGACUGCCGGUGACAAACCGGAGGAAGGUGGGGAUGACGUCAAAUCAUCAUGCCCCUUAUGAUUUGGGCUACACACGUGCUACAAUGGACAAUACAAAGGGCAGCUAAACCGUGAGGUCAUGCAAAUCCCAUAAAGUUGUUCUCAGUUCGGAUUGUAGUCUGCAACUCGACUACAUGAAGCUGGAAUCGCUAGUAAUCGUAGAUCAGCAUGCUACGGUGAAUACGUUCCCGGGUCUUGUACACACCGCCCGUCACACCACGAGAGUCUGUAACACCCGAAGCCGGUGGAGUAACCAUUUAUGGAGCUAGCCGUCGAAGGUGGGACAAAUGAUUGGGGUGAAGUCGUAACAAGGUAGCCGUAUCGGAAGGUGCGGCUGGAUCACCUC